rnacentral:lncRNA from 1 species
CAAUACGCAGAAGUAUUGAAGGAUCAAAUAAAUUUGCCCAUCAAACACUAAUAUAGAAUCUUGAUUUUCCAAGAGAAUGCAACCAGUCAUACCAAAUGCCCGUUCUUCAUCUACUCCACUAUCUUUAGCAAUGAAAGCGAAGACGUAACCCUAACAAAGAAAUCCACACAAAUAAGAGCGCAAGGACGCAACAGGGCACUAAAAGGCCCACAAACUAUAGACCAAAUUCCUUAACUGCCACAAGGAUCACAAAGCACCGACCAGAUUAAACCUCGAAUCCCUCACUUCAUCCGCGAAGAGGGUCGGACGUCCCUCUGGAGUGCACGGAUGAGGUGUCGGAGGUGGCAAGGGGCGGUGUGCCUCCGAAGACUCCGGCAUGGGCAGUGCGAUCGGAGUCCUAAGGUUUGGAUCGGAGAGGCGGGCGAAGGGAGAGGACGAGAGAGAGGGGAAAGCCGGGGGUAAACAAAAGCGGCAAGAAACUUAGGCGAAUGUUAUUGAACUAGUUUUCAUACACAUAUAUUCGACGGAUGAAGCUUGCAAUAAAAUAUAUUAACUGAGAAUAUCACUGAAUCAAUUAAAAAAAUCAAUUGAUUCAUUAAUUGAUUCAAAAAUCAAUUAAAAAUAUAUAACAAGAAACAAAAGAAGAAACAUUAUACAUUAAAAAAUCAAUUAAAUAACAAACCUUAAUUUUGAUGGAAUGAGGUAUUCAUUAAU